UGCAGAAUCCCGUGAACCAUCGAGUCUUUGAACGCAAGUUGCGCCCCAAGCCUUAUGGCCGAGGGCACGUCUGCCUGGGUGUCACAAAUCGUCGUCCCCCUCAUCCAUUGCGGAUUCGGGACGGAAGCUGGUCUCCCGUGUGUUACCGCACGCGGUUGGCCUAAAUCAGAGCCAAGGACGCCGGGAGCGUCCCGACAUUCGGUGGUGAACUCGAUCCACUUUGCUAUCGUCGGCCGUUCCUGUCUAGAAGCUCUAUAUUACCCAAAGUCNUCAAAGCGACCCCAGGUCAGGCGGGAUCACCCGCUGAGUUUAAGCAUAUCAAUAAGCGGAGGAAAAGAAACUAACAAGGAUUCCCUUAGUAACGGCGAGCGAACCGGGAAGAGCCCAGCUUGAAAAUCGGACGUCCUCGGCGUUCGA
rnacentral:rRNA from 1 species